UCCCAGUCUAUGCCUGAGGUUCCUGCUGUUCUCAUUUUACAGAUGGAAAACCGAGGCUUAGAGAUGAACUGAUUUGCCCAAGGUCAUACAGCAAGUGCGAUCAAGCUGAGCUUCAAACUUAAGUCCAAGGCUCGCUGCUUUCAGUCACAAUGCGCUUGCCCAUGACAAUGUCCACGGCUCAAGGUCAAACAAAAGAGUGGAGUGGUCCCCUUUACUCAACAGACAAUGGAAAAGAAAAGGCUCAGGUCAAGUGGACAGUGACUCCAGGGAGCUGCAAUCAGAAGGUUCAGUGCAUGGCAGGCUAGAGAGAGAUGCAAGGUGCAUUACAAGUGUUAAAGACUUCCCUGAGGAUGUCUGCAAAGGAGGGAACAUCUGAACUGAGCCCUGGAGUAACAGUCUUUCAGGAAGGAUACACAGGUUUAUAAAAUGCACACCAGACCUGGGAACUGUGGAACAUGCCUUCUGGGGACUGCUCAAAGGCCAGAGACCACUACAGUGGGUGGAACACUCUGGAGGGAGGGCAACUUGGGGUGGGAGCGAAGGAAGGAUGACCAUUCUCUGAAGGUAGCAGCAGGACCUUUUGCUUAACUACUUGAGGUUGCAGAAGGAUCUUGGUUGUCCUUGGGCUGAAAAGAUGGAGAAUUACUUCUGCCUUCCAGAGCUCUAGGGUUAUUUGACCACCCAAGAACUGGAACUAGCUGGCUGUGAAACCACAUCUCUUCAGAUGGUGGUUCCUGCAUAUGGCACUGAGCAGAUGCAGCUGGGGGUAGGCAGGUGAAGGAAUGGAGCUGCAGGUGACUAGUCAUCAAGCCCUGGGGCUCAUCUAGCAGCAGGGCUGUCCAGGAAUAGCUCCCUGGGUUUAUCCUCCAUGUUGAGUGAGGACUGGUUCAUUGCCAUGGCUUCAAUUACAUCUCUGCGCUGGCAACUGCUAGUCUCACACCUCCACUUGCACUUGAAUGCCUCCCAGGAACCUUGUCAAUGAGCCCCAACUGCACCAGAACUAUCAUACUGGCUCCAACCUGGGACACACCCAAGGGGGUCUCAUGCUGGAGGGUCUCUCUCGUGUUGCCAUUAGAGUCCCAAGCCUGUCACUUCUCUCACUCAAGUCUCUCAGCCCCAGUCUCAGUCACCUCCCCCUUGGUCUUGUCUUUUCCUACCUGGGGUAUCAAACUCAAAGUUUCCUUUCCCUUGCCUUCCAGUCUGGCCCCUGGGUCACCACACUGCAAUCGAGACACAGACUUGAGCGAGUCAGGCCUCUGGUAACAGCCUCUUAUUUGGAGGCUAAGGUCAAGGCUAAGGCCCUGGAGCAGGGCCUCCGAGGCUCUCCUGUCCCCACUUCCCUGCCCUACUCUGCGGCUGUCAGCACUGGCUCUGACACACUGCUGUGGGCUGUGCUGUACCCACUGCCCUUGUUCCCAGGACCCAGCUGAUGAGUCACCCUCCUGUAAAUUCACUCCUGGGCUUUACAAGACAGGGCACUUCCCUUGACCUGGUACUUGUCACACCCUAAUGUGUUUGUCCAGUUUCGUGUCAGUUUCCUUGCUGGACUCAGUUUCUCCCAGGGUAAGAACUGAACUGUUACUGUUUGGCUCCCAGUGUUUGUGGACAUACUUGCUGAAUGAAU
rnacentral:lncRNA from 1 species